rnacentral:lncRNA from 1 species
AUGUAUGUCAGGAGGUGUGAGAGAGCCAUGCGUGGUGGUGGUGGUGGUGGUGGUGGUGGUGGUGGCAGGGGGCUGUGGCAGGGCAGCGAGGCCCAAAGGAGAGAGGAGCACAGAGCUCAGGCUCGCCUGCAGGGGGGGUUACAGAGACUGGAGCAGGCCACGAGCUACCACCUCAACACACUCACCACAGAACAACGAAGACUACACAGAGACCUGCUCAACAUCAAGACCGGUAACCCCUGGAGGAGGAGACUUCACCCUCUGGUGUUGCAACCUGUCAACCCUGACUCCUCCCAUCUCUCCAUGCCCUGCAGGACUACCCUACCCACAAUCCCACGGGCCACCAGAGACCCAAAGAAACACAGGUCAGUGAAAGCUGUGUGUGGGGGAGUGUCUGGUCUGGCUCCACUCCAGGCUCGGGUCCAUGACUUCCUCUGCAGCUCUGCAGACCCACAGAGACAGGGGGCAGAGAGCUCAGUGGCGCCACUCUGCCUGCCAGACCUCAAACUGCAGCCUGCAGCAGAAUUGACCAGCACUGGGCUGGGAGAGAGAGGGGAAGUGGAAGGGAGGGAGGGGAGAGCUGAGAGAGAGAGAGAAUAUGUGAGGGGGAGAGAGGGGAGGGCAACGAGAAAGGAGGAAGAGAACGGGAGGACAGACAGAGACAGAGAGAAAGAGGAGUAUUAUCCUCUCCCUCCUCCCCCCUCCGAUGUCCUCGCUGCUGAUGGUCGGCCCAGAACGCUCCACCUCCUGCCUGAUUUCAACCAAUCACUGGCCGAGGCUCGUAAAGCUCGCUACAUCCGUUACCGAGGUCGACCCCCCUGCGAGAGGGAGCUGUCAAUCACUGAGAUAUUCGCCAGGGGCAACACAGGUUCCAUCCACAGAUUAACUCUGUAAGACAGAACAAGUGUGGCUAGUAGUGUGUGACUUUUCUUUUAACCUGGGACCUCCGCGCAUUUGCUAGUCCAUUAAGCAAAAGCCUUAGUAUUUGCUCGGGGAGCUAUAGCAAGUCUUCAGGUCUCAGGCAAGGUUACUCAUCGUGCGAGCGUGGUUCAGCAAACCACUUCCGUUAUAUCAUGGACACCUCCAUAAACAUUAGAUCCAUUCCAACCUAGUAUGUUUGGACUACAUUGUGUCAUACUGAACAGGGCUUUGGUCGCUAAUACACUUGUUCUGUGCCAAACUGACAAUGCAUCUUAUUCAGUGUUUCUAUUUUAUUAGGCAAGUUAGUUAAGAACAAAUUAUUAUUUACAAUGACAGCCUAUCGGGGAAUAGUGGGUUAACUGCCUUGUUCAGGGGCAGAACAACUGAUUUUUACCUUGGGGAUUCAAUCCAGCAACCUUUCGGUUACUGGCCCAACGCUCUAACCACGAGGCUACCUGCCACCCUGUGAAUGUAUAUCUAUGAAUGUAGCAUUUGAGAUCUGCUCAAUGUGAAACAUAAUAUCUAUUGUGUUAAAUCAUGUACCUGAUUGAAAUUCUCAAUGUAUGUAAAGUAUAAUGUUAAAAACUGUUGGCUCAUGAAUCAUGACUUAUCGUAAUAAAAUAGAGGCCAUGAGGUGGUUGCAUCAGUGUCUCUGUAGUGUGUGUGUGUGAGGAGAAUGCCCCCUGGCGACAGCUAUAGAUAUUGGUUUACAUUUAUUGCCAUUCAAUGACCAUAAAUACUUUAAAGAAUAAUGUAGGCCUAUUUAGUAUCACAAUGUUAUGAUAAACCUAUAUAUAUAUAAAAAAAGGUAUGUGCUGUGGUAUUAUUAAUCUUGUAUGAAAUCUAUAGUUUUAAGCCAUGGACAACUCAGGCUUUAUGCUUAGUCGGUGUUGUGUGUCAGUAACCAAGGCGACGAGUGCGUCCAACAAUGAAAAGAGAGAAAAAGAAGAGGAGGGUGACCAAACAG